GCCUGGGUGGCUCAGUCAGUUGAGCAUCCGACUUCAGCUCAGGUCAUGAUCUCACAGUUCAUGGGUUCGAGCCCCGUAUCAGGCU
rnacentral:tRNA from 1 species